UACGUAGGCAGCGAGCGUUAAUCGGAAUUACUGGGCGUAAAGCGUGCGCAGGCGGUUGUGCAAGACCGAUGUGAAAUCCCCGGGCUCAACCUGGGAAUGGCAUUGGUGACUGCACGGCUAGAGUGUGUCAGAGGGGGGGUAGAAUUCCACGUGUAGCAGUGAAAUGCGUAGAUAUCUGGAGGAACACCGGUGGCGAAGGCGGCAUUCUGGACUGCAACUGACACUGAAAGACGAAAGCCAGGGGAGCAAACGGG
rnacentral:rRNA from 1 species